CACAAAAGCAAAGCAGCAAGCGUGUUGUGAAAGAAGUAAACCCACGCACCCAUAGGGCAGCCCUGCGAGGGAACUUGGGAAGUUUGCACAGUCUGCAUUGCAAAAUGGGCAUUUAAAGGAAGCUGGAGUUUUAACAAACACAACUGAGCGGUGGUAAGAGACUUACAUGGCAGGAAUAUGUACUAGAAGGCAAACAGACUUGUCUUUUAUUCCUUAAUGCCAUCUCUCAGUUUAUAUAUGUGUGGAUAGGUUGCAUUACUUAUUUCCGUUAGGAAUAAAGCCCUUAGGAAUUAAAACAUGUAAAAAACAGCUGAAAAUUCUAGCAUUCUAGAANUGAGGGGUGCAACUGCCAAGGGCCCAGGAGGCAAAAUGGGGAGAGGCUCUUGGGUUGUUUGAUACUGCCCACAGGGUGGAGAGACAAGCAGGAUGUCUCUAAAGGCCAUUUGCAGGUGAAGGUUUUGCCUUCAUCAUCUGCUUGAGAAUGCACAGAAGCCAUUGGUGGGGCACUGUGUGAGACGCGAUGCAGGAUUAGAUGAGCUGUGGCCUGAUCCAGCAGGGCUCCUCUUAUGUUCUUAUGACAUUUGGGGGGUGGUUGUGGUGGCUGUGUUAUGUCUUCGGUCUCAGUUUACAUGGGGAUAAGGAGCCAGCUUGCUUUUCUUUGCCCAGGGCAGCGGGCAUCUGGGCAUGGCAGGCUUUGGCCUUUGAGGUUUUUCCAAUCUCUCGCCUUCCAACGGGAUAUGCACUUAAGAGCUCAGAAAGGUUCAUUCUGUAGGAGAAUCCGAGACAUACAGACACACACCAAUGAGGAGACGCUUGGAAAGCCUGCAAUGCACCACAGUGGUGCUUACUCCCGAGUAACUACAGUCUCCUGUGCAGUGUGCAUGCCUUUCCAGUUCGGUUUNCCCCUUUCCCUACGGGCGACACGAGAGAGAACACGCUGCCUUGCGCAUGCGCAACAGCAGAGUCCGCCGGGCCGUCCGCAUGCGCACACCACGUCUUACUGCCUAAGUCGCGGGAUCUCUGUGACGCCCUUUCCCUCNUCCUCCUGCCCCCUCCCCCCACUCCGCGGGCAUUUCCGCUUCCUGAGGCCGGGAGGUGCGAGCGCGGAAGGUUGCGCUUCCGGUUCGAGGGAUCUCUCUUGGGGGAGAAGAAAGACUGCGUCUGCGCUCGCGUCGCUCGUCGCCGCCGCGGCCUCGGUGGGCGGGAAGAGGAGGAGGAGGAGGAGGAGGGCGGUUUGGACGCCGCCCUGGGCGCUUCCGGGCUCAGGCCAUCAGGGAACGUUGGAACAGUUUCAAAGCAGUGUAUGA
rnacentral:lncRNA from 1 species